GUUCUGUUUUCCCCCCUUCCCCGUCCGCCCUCUUCAGACGGUCUCGGGCCCCUCCUCUUGCCGCGUGCCCCGUCCGCGGGUCUCGCGGCUAGAGGUCGGGGGUUUGGUGCCCCCGAGACGGGAAGGGCGGGUCUGGGUGGGGGGGUCUUGGGACGGCCGCCCCCUGGGUUUGCCGGACGGGCCAGUGGGAAGAGGAGAUGCCUGGCUCCGACUUCUCCCGUUCUCCGGUGUGGUGCUGGGUUCGGGUCCUGGUCGUGGGGGACCGCCCGCCCGCCCUCGGUGAGGUGUGCUCCGCGUGGAGGCCGCGUCUCCCCGGUCUUUCGUGCUCCCCUGGCCUUCUGGGGGAGGAAAGCGAUCCCGCCCGCCGCGUCGCUCCGUGUCUGGUGGCGUGGGGGGGGAAAGCCUCGUACGGCCUGCGGGCCGCGACGAGCUCGGCCGUGGGGUCGAGGGCAGUAAGUAGUCCGGUCAUCGGGGGAGGGGGGAGGAUAGAGCGGAGUGCUCUUUUCCCCCUCUGUGUGCGUGCGUGGGGUGACCGCGGUUCGCGCUGUCGGUCGCGGCCGCCUCGCUCCUCGCUGCACGUGGAGUGCGGGCGAGGACUCUCUGUUUCGAAACCUCCCCCUGAUCCCCGGUGGGCCGUCGCGCUGCUUGCUCUCUCUGCCCUCGCUGUCUCGCCGCGUCUGCUUCCGACGGGCUUCCCUGUGCCGUCGCUGGGGGAUGCCCUCCCGGGGGCUCCCUCUCGUCGGCCUUCCCUGCGCCGAGGGCCGGCGCCGCGACGAGGCUGGGUCGUCGCUCCUCCCCCUCCGGUCGGGUUGCCGGUGGCCGGGUUGCCCGCGUGCCCCCCUCCGCGGGGUCGCCGCCGUUGGGUUUGUCGGUGGGUGCCGUCCCCCGCGUCGGCCCGUCCCGCUUGCCGCCCCGGGGAAACGGUCGUUCCUCCGAGCCCCCCCACUGCCAAAUCGUGUCGUGUCUCGUUUUUUACCUUCCGUUUACGCGUUGUGGGGGUUGCUGUGGGGUGUUGGGGGGGGCCACGCGCCUCCCCCCCCUCCCUCCCUCCCUCCCGCGUAUCCCAAAAAAAACCAAAAUUCGGACAACUCUUAGCGGUGGAUCACUCGGCUCGUGCGUCGAUGAAGAACGCAGCUAGCUGCGAGAAUUAA
rnacentral:lncRNA from 1 species